rnacentral:rRNA from 1 species
GACGAACGCUGGCGGCGUGCUUAACACAUGCAAGUCGAGCGGUAAGGCCCUUUCGGGGGUACACGAGCGGCGAACGGGUGAGUAACACGUGGGUGACCUGCCUUUAGCUCUGGGAUAAGCCUGGGAAACUGGGUCUAAUACCGGAUAUGACCCUAUGGCGCAUGUUGUGGGGUGGAAAGCCUUGUGCGGCUAGGGAUGGGCCCGCGGCCUAUCAGCUUGUUGGUGGGGUGAUGGCCUACCAAGGCGACGACGGGUAGCCGGCCUGAGAGGGCGACCGGCCACACUGGGACUGAGACACGGCCCAGACUCCUACGGGAGGCAGCAGUGGGGAAUCUUGCGCAAUGGGCGAAAGCCUGACGCAGCGACGCCGCGUGAGGGAUGACGGCCUGGUU